rnacentral:rRNA from 1 species
GACGAACGCUGGCGGCGUGCUUAACACAUGCAAGUCGAACGGUAAGGCCCUUCGGGGUACACGAGUGGCGAACGGGUGAGUAACACGUGGGUGAUCCGCCCUGCACUUCGGGAUAAGCCUGGGCAACUGGGUCUAAUACCGGAUAGGACUCCGGACUGCAUGGUCUGGGGUGGAAAGCUUUUGCGGUGUGGGAUGGGCCCGCGGCCUAUCAGCUUGUUGGUGGGGUGAUGGCCUACCAAGGCGACGACGGGUAGCCGGCCUGGGAGGGUGACCGGCCACACUGGGACUGAGAUACGGCCCAGACUCCUACGGGAGGCAGCAGUGGGGAAUAUUGCACAAUGGGCGCAAGCCUGAUGUAGCGACGCCGCGUGAGGGAUGACGGCCUUCGGGUUGUAAACCUCUUUCAGCACAGACGAAGCGCAAGUGACGGUAUGUGCAGAAGAAGGACCGGCCAACUACGUGCCAGCAGCCGCCGUAA